rnacentral:rRNA from 1 species
AUACGGAGGAUGCAAGCGUUAUCCGGAUUUAUUGGGUUUAAAGGGUGCGUAGGCGGUUUGCUAAGCGGGAGGUGAAAUGCCGGCGCUCAACGUCGGAAGUGCCUCCCGAACUGGUGGACUGGAAUGACUCUGCCGUGGGAGGAAUGUGUAGUGUAGCGGUGAAAUGCUUAGAGAUUACACAGAACACCGAUUGCGAAGGCAUCGCACGAAGGGUUGAUUGACGCUGAGGCACGAAAGCGUGGGGAUCAAACAGGAUUAGAUACCCUGGUAGUCCACGCAGUAAACGAUGAUGGCUAACCGCUGGUUUAUUCGGAUCAGUGGCCAAGCGAAAGCGAUAAGCCAUCCACCUGGGGAGUACGACCGCAAGGUUGAAACUCAAAUGAAUUGACGGGG